rnacentral:rRNA from 1 species
GACGAACGCUGGCGGCGUGCUUAACACAUGCAAGUCGAACGGAAAGGCCCUGCUUUUGUGGGGUGCUCGAGUGGCGAACGGGUGAGUAACACGUGAGUAACCUGCCCUUGACUUUGGGAUAACUUCAGGAAACUGGGGCUAAUACCGGAUAGGAGCUCCUGCUGCAUGGUGGGGGUUGGAAAGUUUCGGCGGUUGGGGAUGGACUCGCGGCUUAUCAGCUUGUUGGUGGGGUAGUGGCUUACCAAGGCUUUGACGGGUAGCCGGCCUGAGAGGGUGACCGGCCACAUUGGGACUGAGAUACGGCCCAGACUCCUACGGGAGGCAGCAGUGGGGAAUAUUGCACAAUGGGCGGAAGCCUGAUGCAGCAACGCCGCGUGCGGGAUGACGGCCUUCGGGUUGUAAACCGCUUUCGCCUGUGACGAAGCGUGAGUGACGGUAAUGGGUAAAGAAGCACCGGCUAACUAUGU